rnacentral:rRNA from 1 species
CCUACGGGAGGCUGCAGUGGGGAAUAUUGCACAAUGGGGGAAACCCUGAUGCAGCGACGCCGCGUGAGUGAAGAAGUAUUUCGUUACGUAAAGCUCUAUCAGCAGGGAAGAAAAUGACGGUACCUGAGUAAGAAGCCCCGGCUAACUACGUGCCAGCAGCCGCGGUAAUACGUAGGGGGCAAGCGUUAUCCGGAUUUACUGGGUGUAAAGGGAGCGUAGACGGUGCGCCAAGUCUGGAGUGAAAUGCCGCGGCUUAACUGCGGAACUGCUUUGGAAACUGGCGAACUAGAGUGCAGGAGGGGUAAGCGGAAUUCCGAGUGUAGCGGUGAAAUGCGUAGAUAGUAGGAGGAACACCGGUGGCGAAGGCGGCUUACUGGACCGUAACUGACGUUGAGGCUCGAAAGCGUGGGGAGCAAACAGGAUUAGAUACCCGAGUAGUC